rnacentral:miRNA from 1 species
ACCACGUGGGGAUCUUGUUAAAAGGCAGAUCCUGAUUCACUAAGUCUGGAGCCUGAGAUUCUGCAUUUCUAAGAAGCUCCUGGUAAUGCC